UGAAACCCUAAUUCCCCAAACCUAGCCGCCGCAGCUCAUUCCCCCAAAUGAGGCAGCAGCCUCAUCCUCCCUCAGCCUAGCAACACACACUCGAGCUGCAGCAGAAGCCUCCAACCCCUUUCUCCCCCCAAAACGCACACACACACCCACAGAGGAGAGUGCGCCGGCCAGGAGGGUUACUGUCGCCGCCAGCUGGUCACCGUCGAUACCAUCACUGGCGUCGUUGCUAGCCGUGCCACCAGGGGAAGCGAUCGGGCAGAAAGGGGGAAACAAGGGAAGGGACCGCGGAGAAGGGAAGAGAGAGGAAGAGCUCGCGUCGGAGAGAGAGAGAGAGAGGGAGCUCGUACCUCACCGCCGGCGCCCAUGGAGCCACGAGAUCUCGCCGUCGUCGCCGACCGUUAUUGCACCGCGUCAGAACAGAAAUGCGAAUGAAAGGAAGUGCAAGACACCACCACAGACGAAGAAGAAAGGGGCGCGCGCGGAAGAGGUGAAGCUGUCGCUGUCACCGUCGCGGGUGGGAUCGUCGCCGUGCCUGGUUCCCGUUGCGGCUGGACUUCGACCGCCGCCGUUCCUGUUGCCGCCAAGCAUAGGUUAGCACUGCCAGAGCUCCUGCCACCAUGGGGACCGUGAAAGGAGGAAGGAGAAGUUGUUUCCGUUACAGCCACUCCCGGAGGAGAAGUCAACCGCGCCGCCGCGCCUAGCUGCCGGAAACGCCAUUGCUGUCGCUAGACGGCUUUGUCGGUCCCUGCUGCCGCUUGAGGUGGCUGCCGGGCUGCAGCCGAACCGGUUCGGAGACCGUCGCUAUUCGGUUCAGCCAUUCUCCCUCGGUCUUGGUAAGCGUUUUGGUUCGAGGAGCCUUUUGUCGCUGUUCUGAUAAUUUCGGCUGAGGCGUUGUAGCGUUAUUUGUCACAGGGUUGUAUAUCGAUGCUUGUGUGUCGUGCUCGGUGUUCGCGGCUGCUUCGUUUCGCUAACUCAUGUUGCUAUGGUUACCGCGGGAGUAUCUUAGAGCCGAGGUUGCGGUUGUUGGUGAUCCCGGUUUAAGAGAGGAGGUUCCUGUGAAGCGUUUGGGUUAUGGAAUUGCGUUCUAAGGUAGGGGCGCUUUCCAAAAACUACAGU